AUGUAGGAGACUGUGGACAAGUUCUGAUACAAACUACUCUUAAAUAUCUAUAAAGGAUUUUUUUUCUUUCCAUCUUGUUUAUCUGGCUUAACAAAUUGGUACAGAAAUAUCCUUUCAUAUGUGAGAAAUGAGUAUUGUGCCUUUCUUAGAAUUUAUUCCAACCCUCAAAGUGUUUUCUGGACUUGCUUUGUACCUGAUGCACAGGAACUGUUCUCACUGGCUUGAGUUGACUACUUGCCAUCUGUUCCCUGAGCAUUCAUUGCUGAAUGAAAGGGGAGAGAAAGUGAAAAGAGAGAUGGGGAGAAAGAGGAAGCUGGAGAAAUAGAGGAAACAGCUGGAAGCUGAGGAGGGUGUGAGACUCAUGUAAGGUCAGUAAAACAAAAAAACAGAGGGCAGGGUCAGGUCCUAGGGGUAGAGAGCUAAUUAACUUCUGCAAGCUAUUUGAUUAAAGCAUUGUAUACUUUGUUAAAGAGACCAAAGGUACUUCAAAGGAAAUUCUGGAUUCUUCUCCAUCUACCUUAGUAAAUUGUUCAUUGGGUCAAAAUCCAUCCUGCCCUCCUGGAAUUCUGGUUUUGUUUGUUCAGAUCUAAUUCUUGCUGCCAGUGCUCCGGCAGGUGAUGAAGUAUUUGUGGAGAGCAGUAGGUAAACUUGAUGCAUUUAUUAUUUAUGACUUAAAAAGUAAAUGUUGAGUACAGCUUUUGUCCUUAAGUAGGGCUUUUAAUAACUAGCUCACCUAGCUUCUUCAUGUUUUCUGUGCCUGGACCAGUUGACCAAAUGUAGAUUUUUAGGCAACUGCUGGUUCAGAGACUCAAGGUCAAGAAAAGAGCUAAUUCUCUGUUCUGUAAAUGUAGCCAGAUCUUAACGCUGUUUUAGCUUGUGUUGCCAUCUGUCGGCAUUGUUUUCCAGAAUGGAACAGGCUUCCUCAAACUUCUGUCUGGCUAGUUGUAUGUUGUCAUAUCAGUGUUUUAGGUCACUGCUGCUCACUUUCUUUACCUAGGGAAACUACUCAACACCUAUGUCAUUAUUCUUGUUCCCUUCUUGUCCCAAGAACAGAGGGACACCCCCUGCGUGGGUGCGCGCGCGCGCGCGCGCGCACACACACACACACACACACACACACACACACACACCCGACUGAAUAUCAAAUUGACCCAGUAGAGAAGAAACUGAUGAGAAAUGUUUGUUGGAGUUUGGGUAAAGACUAUUCACUAGUUACGAUUUUGCCCUGCUCCUGUUCUUUAUAAGAACGUUGGAACAGACAUGAUAGGUGUUUUUUGUUUUUUUUGUGUGUGUGCAUGAAUAACAUUUAUAGUUUUUCUGAUGAUGCAGAUGGGUGAUACAAUGCUAUUUAGUGCCAUAUAUAUGUAUAAAAUUAUUAUUUUUAAUGUGGGAUUCAACCCAGUGGUGCUUAACCACUGACUCAUGUCUCCAGCCUUUUUUUUUUUUUUUUAAUUUUGAGAGAGGCUCUUUAAAUUGCUAAAUUAAGGCUGACCUCAAACUUCGCAGUUUUUCUGCCUCAGCCCUCCGAGUCAGUAGGAUUAUAGGCAUGCCCAGCUGUAUUCCUCUUUUAAUUAUUUGGGUUAUAGGCUAUAGCUACUAAGAAAGAGAGUCAUCGUCUCCUUACCACCUGUGCAUCAGGUACAAAGCAAACCCAGAAGAUUUAAGGAUUUGGCUUAUGUUUUUGACUAUUAGCACAUUAUAACGGAGGCUAAGCUUUGUAGUUUGGUUCAGGCAAACCAAGUUUAUGUAGCUGUUUAAAUAUCAAUUGUUUUUCAAGUUUAGCCAUUACCCCAGGGCUGGGGCAUUUGAGGGCAGUGAGGAACAGGUGUCCAAAGGAGAAAUUUGUGUUUUCCAGUUGCAUUAAAUUUCUUACUUGGUAUAUUUUUGACUUGUCUUUUUUUUUUUUUUUUUCCCCCUUGCUUGUGGCCUAUGCUGUUUUGCUUGCUCUUUGUUGGAUAGUCUGUCAUUCAAGAGUUAUAAAAUAGAAGUUAGUAUUUUUGCACAAAUGCUUUAAGGAUGAAACUGAUAGGUUUAGCACUGACUUUUGCCAGUCAAGAAUAGUUAGUGAUAAAUGUGUUUCUGUGACUUUGUCUCAUUUUUGGAGUUUUGAGUAUAUGAACUUGUUAGAAACAAUAGAGUUUUAGUUUAGAACUUAAAGCCUGGCCUGGCACUGUGGCACAGACCUGUAUCUCAGUGACUUGGAAGCAAAAGGCAGGAAGAUCAUAAGUAUAUAAGGAUCAUAAAUACUUGUUCUAAACUUUAAGGUAUUUUUCUCUGGAAAAUAUUCCAAUGUUAAAAUUUUCAUCUGACUUUAAAAGUUUGUUAACUUUUCUUUUUAGGGGAAGAGUUUGGGCAACUAUCAGGAAUUCUGAUUUUUGUCUUAAGAGAGAAAAUUAGCCAUUUUCCUCAAGAAAAGCGAUAUUUCUGAAUCUCAACUCUUCAGUAAUAAGAACUGGACUGUGUUUGCUUGGCCUCUACUUCCUGUUCGUGGGGAAACUCCUCUGCGGAGGUGCUGUGAGAAAGAUUGCUAGAUUGGGGAGAGGGUUUCUAGAUGCCAAGGUAAGAAGUUCAAGGGAGUCUACCGAAUUGCCAUUAGAAGAAUGGUAUUUAUUAAGUACUAGUUUUCCUAAUCCUGAAGAUUUGUUUUCACCAUACUUGGAAAGACAUUAAGCAUAAGAGGUCGUGUAGGGGAAAGACAUUAAGCAUAAGACAUCAUGUAGGGGAGAAGAACUGAGGAGAUACAUUACAGACUUUGAAGUUAAUGUUAGGGCAGGGAAGAAGCUGUACACUAAAUGAAAAUGGACAUGCAGUAACCAAGGUCAAAGCAAGAACACAAGAGUUUCUACCUUGUUCAUUCUUUAGGUUUGCAUCUUAUUUCCCUCCUUACCUCACAUGUAUCUUCAAAUCUAGGCUUUCUAUAAGAUACUAAUGGACAUUUAUAGAAGUCACAGAGGCCACUUAUAGGAGGCAUGUGGACCACUAACUAGAACAGUUGAGCUGAGGAAUGUAUCGGAAACCAUCGUCAUUUUCUGUCCCCUCCUGUCUUAGGCUGGCCGGUUCCCUGAUGUGUUACCUGAUUCUGCCACUGUUGCAAACUGCAGAACUUCUUUCAUCCCCAAGGCCUCCAGGCAGUAUCCAAUGGGCAAUCAGCUCUAAAUGGAAACCAGAACAACGUUUUCCAGCCCCUUCAUUCUGAUGACUGAUGGAAGGAACAAAGAGUGGGAGGAGGGAUAUACUUGCCUAGUGGAUGGAAAACAAACAGACCGGCAAAUUACUAUACCUCUAGUACCAUAGAAUUCUGCAACCAUACUGUUUGUAUUAUAUAUGUAUUGGGGAAAGUUAGAGAUGGUGACCUUCAUUAGAAGUGUCUGGAGGGGAUAAGAGUCAGUUGGUUUUGAAAGAUGUUGAAGCCUUGAAAUAAUGUGCCCAUAUGAUGAAUUUUUAAAUAUUAAAACCCUUUAUAAAAAUA
rnacentral:lncRNA from 1 species